rnacentral:lncRNA from 10 species
GUACAAUAGAGCUUAUAGGCUAAUGAGAAGACAGGAAGAAACAACAGGAACACAUAUAGCUGGAAUGCAGAUGGGAUCUGUGCUACUUACGCUAGCCAUGGGAUGAUUAGAACAAGAUAAGAGACAUGAGGAAGACUUCUUCAAGGAGGUGCUCAAGCCAUGUUUUGGAAAAGAGAACUCAAGGUCUGGCAGGGAGAAAGGAGCAAGGUCCCCAAGCAUGCUAACCAUGAAGCAGUGAUAUCGCACAGCACCUGCUUCCAGCAGCCCGGAGCCAAGGGGCAAAAUGGAAAGAGUCAGCAUUUCUCUUUUAGGUUCUCUGCCUCUCUAGUGUGGCAAGUAGAGCUGCAGCUGUCUGGCGCCACUGUAAUGCUGUCUCCUCCUCUGAGUGAGUUCAUCCUGGAAACAUUUUCUCCCAUAAGACAUGCACAGGUCUUACGUUUACAUGUUUCACUGAAAGAAAUUUGAUUCCACUGCUGGGAUGACAAGGAAGACUGAAGAAACCUAAUCCUAGGUGCUGCCACUGGGACAAACAAGAAGCACCAGACACAGUGCUGUUUUAGGGUGGGGCAGAAUUAUGCUGAGGGAAAAGUUAUUAUCACUCUUUAAGGCCAAGGAAACCACAAUUUUUAAAGAAGCUUCUAGAAAUUCUACCCAGUAGAAAAUAAAGAUAAACUUCUGUAA